rnacentral:rRNA from 1 species
GCCGGUGGACAAACCGGAGGAAGGUGGGGAUGACGUCAAGUCAUCAUGGCCCUUACGGCCUGGGCUACACACGUGCUACAAUGGUCGGUACAAAGGGUUGCCAAGCCGCGAGGUGGAGACUAAUCCCAUAAAACCGAUCCGUAGUCCGGAUCGCAGUCUGCCAACUCGACUGCGUGAAGUCGGAAUCGCUAGUAAUCGUGAAUCAGAAUGUCACGGUGAAUACGUUCCCGGGCCUU